rnacentral:rRNA from 1 species
UUCGCAAUGCCCGAAAGGGUGACGAAGCGACGCCGCGUGUGGGAAGAAGGCCUUCGGGUUGUAAACCACUGUCGGGAGUUAAGAAAUGCAAGGAUAUUAAUAGUGUCUUUGUUUGACUAAGGCUCCGGAGGAAGCCACGGCUAACUCUGUGCCAGCAGCCGCGGUAAUACAGAGGCGGCAAGCGUUGUUCGGAAUUAUUGGGCGUAAAGAGCACGUAGGCGGCUAUGUAAGUCGGUUGUGAAAGCCUUCCGCUCAACGGAAGAACAGCAUCCGAUACUACAUGGCUUAAGUGCGGGAGGGGAGAGUGGAACUUCUGGUGGAGCGGUGAAAUGCGUAGAUAUCAGAAGGAACGCCGGCGGCGAAAGCGGCUCUCUGGCCCAUAACUGACGCUGAGUGUGCGAAAGCUAGGGGAGCAAACGGGAUUAGAUACCCCGGUAGUCCUAGCCGUAAACGAUGGGCACUAAGUAGAGGGGUUUU